UGGCUCAGCAGUUGAGAGCGCUGGCUGAUCUACCAGAGAACCUGGGUUCAAUUCCCAG
rnacentral:tRNA from 1 species